CGUGAGGCAUGCUGGAGGUAUCAGAAGUGCGAAUGCUGACAUAAGUAACGAUAAAGCGGGUGAAAAGCCCGCUCGCCGGAAGACCAAGGGUUCCUGUCCAACGUUAAUCGGGGCAGGGUGAGUCGACCCCUAAGGCGAGGCCGAAAGGCGUAGUCGAUGGGAAACGGGUUAAUAUUCCCGUACUUGGUGUUACUGCGAAGGGGGGACGGAGAAGGCUAUGUUGGCCGGGCGACGGUUGUCCCGGUUUAAGCGUGUAGGUGUGUGUUCCAGGUAAAUCCGGUUCACUUUAACACUGAGGCGUGAUGACGAGGCACUACGGUGCUGAAGCAACAAAUGCCCUGCUUCCAGGAAAAGCCUCUAAGCAUCAGGUAACAUCAAAUCGUACCCCAAACCGACACAGGUGGUCAGGUAGAGAAUACCAAGGCGCUUGAGAGAACUCGGGUGAAGGAACUAGGCAAAAUGGUGCCGUAACUUCGGGAGAAGGCACGCUGACACGUAGGUGAAGUGAUUUACUCAUGGAGCUGAAGUCAGUCGAAGAUACCAGCUGGCUGCAACUGUUUAUUAAAAACACAGCACUGUGCAAACACGAAAGUGGACGUAUACGGUGUGACGCCUGCCCGGUGCCGGAAGGUUAAUUGAUGGGGUCAGCGCAAGCGAAGCUCCUGAUCGAAGCCCCGGUAAACGGCGGCCGUAACUAUAACGGUCCUAAGGUAGCGAAAUUCCUUGUCGGGUAAGUUCCGACCUGCACGAAUGGCGUAAUGAUGGCCAGGCUGUCUCCACCCGAGACUCAGUGAAAUUGAACUCGCUGUGAAGAUGCAGUGUACCCGCGGCAAGACGGAAAGACCCCGUGAACCUUUACUAUAGCUUGACACUGAACAUUGAGCCUUGAUGUGUAGGAUAGGUGGGAGGCUUUGAAGCGUGGACGCCAGUCUGCGUGGAGCCGACCUUGAAAUACCACCCUUUAAUGUUUGAUGUUCUAACGUGGACCCGUGAUCCGGGUUGCGGACAGUGUCUGGUGGGUAGUUUGACUGGGGCGGUCUCCUCCUAAAGAGUAACGGAGGAGCACGAAGGUUGGCUAAUCCUGGUCGGACAUCAGGAGGUUAGUGCAAUGGCAUAAGCCAGCUUGACUGCGAGCGUGACGGCGCGAGCAGGUGCGAAAGCAGGUCAUAGUGAUCCGGUGGUUCUGAAUGGAAGGGCCAUCGCUCAACGGAUAAAAGGUACUCCGGGGAUAACAGGCUGAUACCGCCCAAGAGUUCAUAUCGACGGCGGUGUUUGGCACCUCGAUGUCGGCUCAUCACAUCCUGGGGCUGAAGUAGGUCCCAAGGGUAUGGCUGUUCGCCAUUUAAAGUGGUACGCGAGCUGGGUUUAGAACGUCGUGAGACAGUUCGGUCCCUAUCUGCCGUGGGCGCUGGAGAACUGAGGGGGGCUGCUCCUAGUACGAGAGGACCGGAGUGGACGCAUCACUGGUGUUCGGGUUGUCAUGCCAAUGGCACUGCCCGGUAGCUAAAUGCGGAAGAGAUAAGUGCUGAAAGCAUCUAAGCACGAAACUUGCCCCGA
rnacentral:rRNA from 2 species